rnacentral:rRNA from 1 species
UUUUUUGUUUUCAUGCACCCGCGUUAUUAUAGUAGGGGGGCGAGGCGUUGUUCUGUAAUUACUGGCAGUAGAAGGGCGGGUAGGCGCCCCUUUUAAGUCAAGAGUUGAAACGCCCACGGCCUCACCCGCGGGGCGUGCAUUUUGAUACAGUAGCUCUUUGAGUGUCGGAGGAGGAGAAGUAGAAUUCCCCCGUGUAGCGGGGAAAAGUUUAGAUAUUGGGAAGAAACACCAGUGGUGAGGGCGGUUUUUCUCCUCCUAUCACUGACGCUGAGGCGGGAAAAGUGGGGAGCAAACCACAAUUAUAUCCCCUAGUAGUCCUACCCGUAAAAGAUGGGUUCUAGGGGUGGGGGGGUUACCCCCCUUCCGUGCCGGCGGUAACCAAAAAAGUUCCCCCCCGGGGGGUGACGGGCGCAAGGAUUAAACUCAAAAGAAUUGGCGGGGGCCCCCCCCAGCGGGGGAGCCUGUGUUUUUAUUUGAAAAAACGGGAAAAACCUUACCCGGGCUUGACCUCCCCUAGCCAGCCGGAGAAACACGUCUCCCCUUCGGGCCAGGGAGACAGGUGGUGCAUGGUUGUCGUCAGCUCGUGUCGUGAGAUGUUGGGUUAAGUCCCGCAACGAGCGCAACCCCUUCCUUUAGUUGCCAUCAUUAAGUUGGGCACUCUAAAGAGACUGCCGGUGACAAAUCGGAGGAAGGUGGGGAUGACGUCAAAUCAUCAUGCCCCUUAUGAUCUGGGCUACCCACGUGCUACAAUGGGCGGUACAGAGGGAAGCGAAGCCGUGACGCGGAGCGAAUCCCAAAAAACCGGUCUCAGUUCGGAUUGCAGGCUGCAACUCGCCUGCAUGAAGUCGGAAUCGCUAGUAAUCGCGUUUAACAUGCUGGCGGUCCUUUGGAAGCCUGGG